rnacentral:rRNA from 1 species
AACGAACGCUGGCGGCAGGCCUAACACAUGCAAGUCGAGCGCGCCCUUCGGGGUGAGCGGCGGACGGGUUAGUAACGCGUGGGAAUAUGCCCAAAGGUAGGGAAUAGCCUCUGGAAACGGAGAGUAAUACCCUAUGUGCCCUUCGGGGGAAAGAUUUAUCGCCUUUGGAUUAGCCCGCGUUGGAUUAGGUAGUUGGUGGGGUAAUGGCCUACCAAGCCUACGAUCCAUAGCUGGUUUGAGAGGAUGAUCAGCAACACUGGGACUGAGACACGGCCCAGACUCCUACGGGAGGCAGCAGUGGGGAAUCUUGGACAAUGGGGGCAACCCUGGUCCAGCCAUGCCGCGUGAGUAGAUGAACGGCCCUAGGGUCGUAAAGACUCUUUCGCCAGAGAUGAUAAUGACAGUA